GAGCAGCUAUCCAGCUUGGGAGU
rnacentral:piRNA from 1 species